ACUGCGGGUGAGUGGCCUGCCGCACCGGCGAAGUUGAAGCCGGCAAAAGCUCAAAUUUUGAAAUUCUGGCACCUUUCGGUGUUCCGAGUUUGUAAUUUUGAAGAAAGGUAACUUUUGGAGUUUGGCUCUUGUCUAUGUUCCUUGGAACAGGACGUCACAGAGGGUGAGAAUCCCGUGCGAUGAGAUGCCCAAUUCUAUGUAAAGUGCUUUCGAAGAGUCGAGUUGUUUGGGAAUGCAGCUCUAAGUGGGUGGUAAAUUCCAUCUAAAGCUAAAUAUUGGCGAGAGACCGAUAGCGAACAAGUACAGUGAUGGAAAGAUGAAAAGAACUUUGAAAAGAGAGUGAAAAAGUACGUGAAAUUGUUGAAAGGGAAGGGCUUGAGAUCAGACUUGGUAUUUUGCGAUCCUUUCCUUCUUGGUUGGGUUCCUCGCAGCUUACUGGGCCAGCAUCGGUUUGGAUGGUAGGAUAAUGACUAAGGAAUGUGGCUCUACUUCGGUGGAGUGUUAUAGCCUUGGUUGAUACUGCCUGUCUAGACCGAGGACUGCGUCUUUUGACUAGGAUGUUGGCAUAAUGAUCUUAAGCCACCCGUCUAAAAAGGGGGACAAAAAAAAAUAAAAAAAAAAGAAAAAAAUAAA
rnacentral:rRNA from 1 species